AUGCUAGCUAAGCAAGUAUGGAGGCUGAUUGAUGAACCUGAAUCCCUUUGUGCAAGGGUACUGAGAGCAAAAUACUACCCCUCUGGUGAUAUUUUAAAAGCAGGGCCCAAGAAAGGAUCUUCCUUUACUUGGCAGAGCUUAGUAGUGGGUAUUCAGACAUUCAAACGUGGGCACAUAUGGAGGAAUGGCACUGGGGAAAAGAUCAAUAUUUGGGAGGACCAUUGGAUUCCCUCGAGCCCUACUAGACAAAUUAUUACACCGAGGGGUGGUGCUCUAAUUACUAAAGUCAAUGAACUUAUUGAUCCUGUUACCGAGCAGUGGGACGAGGAGUUAAUACGUGGGAUAUUCAACCUAGUGGAUGUUAGCCGGAUCCUACAGAUUCCCUUAAGCCACCACGGAUUUGACGAUUUUGUAGCCUGGCAUGGCAAUAGUAAUGGAAUUUUUUCGGUAAGAUCGGCAUACCAUUGUGAAUGGAAACAUCAGUUCAGCCCAAGAUCUUUGUCGGCAAUAACAGGACCAUCAAUGUCAAAUCCAGUUUGGACAAUCCUAUGGAAGCUCAAAGUCCCGGGAAAAGUGAAAAUAUUCAGCUGGAGGGCCCUUCAUGGAUUAAUCCCAUUAAAAUCAAUCUUGGCAAACAGGCACAUUGGUACUGAUGGAAGUUGUCUGAUUUGCCAUCAAGGGGUUGAAGACAUCCAUCAUCUCUUAUUUAGUUGUGGCAGAGCGAUGGAAAUGUGGAGGUUACUGGGAAUUUAUGACACAAUUGCAAAAGCCCGUCUUGUGGAUCGAUCAGACUCAACUGUUCUGGAGUACAUACUCCGGCUCCCACCUUCAAAGUUACCACACAUGCCAAACAUUGGGAUAAGCGAAGGGAUUAUUACAGCAUGCUGGUAUCUAUGGUGGCUCAGAAGAAGGCAAACACAUAAUGAGACAGUACCCCCAAUGAGCAGAAAUGCUAUUGCAGUCCAGGCGAUUUGCGCCAAUUUUUAG
rnacentral:rRNA from 1 species